rnacentral:rRNA from 1 species
CCUACGGGCGGCAGCAGUGGGGAAUAUUGCGCAAUGGGCGCAAGCCUGACCCAGCAACGCCGCGUGAAGGAAGAAGGCUUUCGGGUUGUAAACUUCUUUUAAGAGGGAAGAGAAUAACACGGUACGUCUUGAAUAAGCCACGUCUAACUACGUGACAGCAGCCGCGGUAAUACGUAGGUCGCAAGCGUUGUCCGGAUUGACUGGGUGAAAAGGGCGUGUAGCCGGGCCGGCAAGUCAGAUGUGAACUCCCAAGGCUCAACCCUGGAACUGCAUUUGAAACUGUGGGUCUGGAGUAUCUGAGAGGCAGGCGGAAUUCCUAGUGGAGCGGUGAAAUGCGUAGAUAUUAGGAGGAACACCAGUGGCGAAGGCGGCCUGCUGGACGACAACUGACGGUGAGGCGCGAAAGCGUGGGGAGCAAACAGGAUUAGAUACCCCUGUAGUC